AGUGAACGCUGGCGGUAGGCCUAACACAUGCAAGUCGAACGGCAGCACAGUAAGAGCUUGCUCUUACGGGUGGCGAGUGGCGGACGGGUGAGGAAUACAUCGGAAUCUACUUUUUCGUGGGGGAUAACGUAGGGAAACUUACGCUAAUACCGCAUACGACCUACGGGUGAAAGCAGGGGAUCUUCGGACCUUGCGCGAUUGAAUGAGCCGAUGUCGGAUUAGCUAGUUGGCGGGGUAAAGGCCCACCAAGGCGACGAUCCGUAGCUGGUCUGAGAGGAUGAUCGGCCACACUGGAACGGAGACACGGUCCAGACUCCUACGGUAGGCAGCAGUGGGGAAUAUUGGACAAUGGGCGCAAGCCUGAUCCAGCCAUACCGCGUGGGUGAAGAAGGCCUUCGGGUUGUAAAGCCCUUUUGUUGGGAAAGAAAAGCAGCAGGUUAAUACCCCGCUGUUCUGACGGUACCCAAAGAAUAAGCACCGGCUAACUUCGUG
rnacentral:rRNA from 1 species